UUUGUCAUUUUCAAUACUAUAUCAUUAUCUCUCUCCCGUUUCCCUCUUCUCAUUCUAAACCCCACAAACCCUAACACCUCUCAUUCUUCAUAAUUUGCAUAUCUAUACUUUUCCAUUUCAAAUCAAUACUCUACUUUCCUAUAUGCUUUUAACCGAUUACUCUUUUUCUCUCUUUCCAUGAACUCUUCCUUUUCUCUGUUUCCUUUUCUCUUUUCCAUUCAAACCCUAGCGAAUUCUUCACUAUGUGCACGGUCAAAACAACCGCAAAUUCAUUCAAUCUCUCAAGAAUUUGUUCACUGAAAAUGGAUAGCAUAUUCAAAUUUAGGGUUUUGGAAAAGUGUUGAUAUUGUGAGAGUUUCUGAGUUAAAAAGAAUGAAAUCUGCAAGGAUCUCUGGUUUAAGAUUUGUAGUAAGUAUUUUUUUGUACCUUUCUAUGUUUUACUUAUCUUUUUCUCUCCUUAUGAUUAUUUGUGUUUUAUUAGAUUUAGAUGCAUUUCAUGUGUAGUUUUUUCCAGAUCUGGAAAUUAGAAAGGAGAAGCAUAUCAGUGUUAUGCAAGAAAAACAAAAGUGACAUUGGAAAUUAGAAAGGAGAAGCAUCUCAGUUUUUUCAUGUGUAGUUUUUUUUUCAGAUCUUAGUGGAUUGUGAUGCAUAAUGUUUGACAUUGAUGUUGCAAGGCAUUGCAUUUAUGGUUAUGAAGGCAAUAUCCAGUAGCACAUAACAGGUUUUUCCUUAUGAUGUUGGUGAUGCUUUAUGUGUGAAAUGUUUCUUGAUGAUGUUUGGUUACUGUUAGCAUUUAUGCAGUAGGAUUCGGUAAUUGGUUUGUGUGUGUAUGCUAACAUGUUGUACUGCAGGUUAAUAAGGAGGUUUGUAGGGUUACAUCAUGACUAUUGCAGGAGAUUUACACAUUUUGAUGUUGAAAUCUUUGUUGAAGAAGUACUUGUGAAGUAUGGAGAGUGGCACUUGGAACAACUGAAACUUUGAAAGGUUCAUAUGUUUGUGUGUGUUCACAUGGAUCACUUGAUUGCAGUUGUGGAGUUUGUGGACCUGUUUUAAUAAGUCGAUUUAGGAAACACAUUGAGCUACAUGGUCUACAAGAUAAAGUAUUUGUUAGCCUAUGCUCGCACGUUGGAAGACAUAAGUAUGCACGAAAUGUCAUUAUAUUUGGAUCAAUGACCUUAUGUACUUAUAGACAAUGGUAUUGAUUACAUAAAAUGGUUUUUUUAUAUUGCAGCUAAAUAUAACUAUUUUUUAUUUAUAUUUAGCUACUGAAAUGUUUUAAUUACUUUUAGAUUAUUCAGAAGUUGGAUUCUUUUUGUUUUUCCUCUAGAUUAGGUUUUGGGAUUACCAUUGCAACACAUACCCCUUUUCAUUUGGACCAAGUCUCUGAAUCAGGUAAGCAGAAGUUAAUACUCAGAAUUGAAGUUUUAUGCCUACACGAUAAAGAUUGGAGAGGAGUACACGAAGUAAUCAUCGACAGCAAGAGACCAAGGUCCAACGACACUAAGAGAACAUCAUGUCAUCAUUGCUUACAUUGUUGUUGCAACUGGAAGCUCUCUCUUUGGAUAUGAUGUUGGAAUUUCAGCUUCUGCAAUAUUUCAUUCUCUUCCACCUUCACUUUUAUGUUCUGCAAUAGUUUUUAUAGAAAUUUGAUGCAUGUGAUAUGAUUAAAAGGAGGAGUUAUUUCUAUGAAUGUAUUUGUUCUCAAGUUUUUCCCCUCGGUGUACGAACAUAAAAGAUCACACACACGAAAACAACUACUGCGGGUAUAACAAUCAAGUCCUUGCUAUAUUUACUUCUGUUUUAUAUUUUUUGUUUUAGUUGCACCCUUGGUGGCGACGCUUGCUACAAGAAAGUACAGAUGGAGGACAAGUAUCAUAGCAGGCCGUAUCAUCUUUCUCAUCGGAUUUGUUCUGAAUGUUGUUGCAGUUAAUCUAGCUAUGCUAAUUAUAGGUCAAAUUAUGCUUGGCGUUGGCAUUGGUUUGGGAGAACAGGUAGUGAAAUGAGGAUCAAAGGAAAAAGGAAGGAAGGUUCUUGAAAAUAUCAUAGGAACUAAUGAUGUUGAUGCAGAGUUUGAAGAUAUGGUUGAAGGAGGAAGAGGAGAGAAGAAAUCACAAAUAAUUAAUAGUCAAUAAAUAAGUUUGAUUAUUUUGUAAACAAAAUAAAUUUACUUUGAAUAGUCAAUAAAUAAGUUUGAUUAUUUUGUAAACAAAAUAAGUUUACUUUUAAUAGUCAAUAAAUAAGUUGGUUAUUUUGUGAAUAAAUGUGAAGUAUAAAUGUAUCUACUGAGGAAGUAUAAAUGUGAAGUAUAAAUGUAUUCUUUUGCACUGUGACCCGAUUAAACGAAAUCAGCUGAGGAAGUAUUCUUUCAAAUUCGAGAACGCGUGGCUAAAAAAUGAUGAACUAGCAGAUGUGGUAAAGAGAGGUUGGCAGGCUACUAAUAAUAAUGGGGUGCUAAACCGAAUAAAUAAUUGUGCGAAAGAGUUAGCAA